UUAUUGGGUAUCAAAACCUAAUAGCGAAAUUAACAUAACUUUUAUGGGAUUAGUUUUUAGAUUAUUUAUAGUCUAUUAAUUCAAUCCCGGGGCGUUCUAUAUAGUUAUGUAUAAUAAUAUUUAUAUUAUUUAUACCUCUAACUAGAGCGUACCUUGAGCAUAUAUGCUGUGACCCGAAAGAUGGUGAACUAUACUUGAUCAGGUUGAAGUCAGGGGAAACCCUGAUGGAAGACCGAAACAGUUCUGACGUGCAAAUCGAUUGUCAGAAUUGAGUAUAGGGGCGAAAGACCAAUCGAACCAUCUAGUAGCUGGUUCCCUCCGAAGUUUCCCUCAGGAUAGCUGGUGCAUUUAAAUAUUAUGUAAAAUAAUCUUAUCUGGUAAAGCGAAUGAUUAGAGGCCUUAGGGUCGAAACGACCUUAACCUAUUCUCAAACUUUAAAUGGGUAAGAACCUCACCUUUCUUGGUAUGAAGGUUGUGGUUGUGAUAUAAUGUGCCCAGUGGGCCACUUUUGGUAAGCAGAACUGGCGCUGUGGGAUGAACCAAACGUAAUGUUACGGUGCCCAAAUUAACAACUCAUGCAGAUACCAUGAAAGGCGUUGGUUGCUUAAAACAGCAGGACGGUGGACAUGGAAGUCGUAAUC
rnacentral:rRNA from 1 species